GGAUCACUGACUCUGAGGGAAGACAGCUACUCUGUUGGGAGGACACUCAAGUAGCUCUGGGGAGGGGGCCACACGGAGAGGAACAGCAGCCCCUGUUCAACAGCCAGCACCAACUUGCCAGGCACGUGAGUGAGCCACCUUGGAAACAGAUGUGUGGUCAAGCCUUCGGAUGACUGUGGCCCCAGCCAACAUCUUGCCUGCAACCUCAUGACAUAUCCUAGACCAGAACUGCACAGCCUAGCCACAGACCCACAGCAAUUGAAACCUACCAAGACACUCCUCUCAUGGAGCCCCAAACCUUGUAGACAAAAUUGAGCCAGAGAUGUGCCAUACUUCACCUCUGCCUUGGGAUGAACAAUUUCGGCUCCUUUGGUCUGAUAUUUGAGAUCCUUGUUGUUUAUAUCACUUCCUCCAAAGUAAUCCCUUCAGCAAUACAUAUUUAUUGAGGCCCCCUGCCACGUGACAAGCGAUGUUCUAAGCACCGGAAACACAGCAGGGAAUAAGACUAAACUACAUUUAAAGGUAUUUUAUGUUAGGUUGGACUAUAUGAAGUUGCCAAUACUGGACCAAAUUUUAGUUGCAAAGAAGUAAUUUUAAGUGUAUGUAUGUUUAAAUAGAUAACACACAUUUAUAGAAAGUCAUUUAAAAUCACGAACACAUUUUCAAUUUACCUAAACAUUUAGUAAUUUCAUUCCUUCCUCUGUGUCUAUUUGUACCCCCACUCCUCUCUGAGUUUUCUUUCGUUUUUAGUGAGGAUUUGUGAGUGAUCAAUGCUCUAGGCUCUUCUCGGAAGUUAACUUGUUACAUUUAAAUAAUAAUAGUUCACUUGAGUAUAAUUCUUGG